GAUGAACGCUGGCGGCGUGCCUAAUACAUGCAAGUCGAGCGAAUGGAUUAAGAGCUUGCUCUUAUGAAGUUAGCGGCGGACGGGUGAGUAACACGUGGGUAACCUGCCCAUAAGACUGGGAUAACUCCGGGAAACCGGGGCUAAUACCGGAUAACAUUUUGAACCGCAUGGUUCGAAAUUGAAAGGCGGCUUCGGCUGUCACUUAUGGAUGGACCCGCGUCGCAUUAGCUAGUUGGUGAGGUAACGGCUCACCAAGGCAACGAUGCGUAGCCGACCUGAGAGGGUGAUGGGCCACACGGGGACUGGGCCACGGCCCAGACUCCUACGGGAGGCAGGAGUAGGGAAUCUUCCGCAAUGGACGAAAGUCUGACGGGGCAACGCCGCGUGAGUGAUGAAGGCUUUCGGGUCGUAAAACUCUGUUGUUAGGGAAGAACAAGUGCUAGUUGAAUAAGCUAGCACCUUGACGGUACCUAACCAGAAAGCCACGGCUAACUACGUGCCAGCAGCCGCCGUAA
rnacentral:rRNA from 1 species